ensembl:lncRNA
GUCCUGCUAGGUGUCGUGUCCUGCUAGGUGUCGUGUCCUGCUUGGUGUCGUGUCCUGCUUGGUGUCGUGUCCUGCUUGGGGCCGUGUCCUGCUAGGUAUCGUGUCCUGCUUGGUGCCGUGUCCUGCUAGGUGUCGUGUCCUGCUAGGUGUCGUGUCCUGCUUGGUGUCGUGUCCUGCUAGGUGUCGUGUCCUGCUUGUGUCCUGCUUGGUGUCGUGUCCUGCUAGGUGUCGUGUCCUGCUAGGCGUCGUGUCCUGCUAGGUGUCGUGUCCUGCUAGGCGUCGUGUCCUGCUAGGUGUCCUGCUAGGUGUCGUGUCCUGCUAGGUGUCGUGUCCUGCUAGGCGUCGUGUCCUGCUAGGCGUCGUGUCCUGCUAGGUGUCGUGUCCUGCUUGGUGUCGUGUCCUGCUAGGCGUCGUGUCCUGCUAGGUGUCGUGUCCUGCUAGGCGUCGUGUCCUGCUAGGCGUCGUGUCCUGCUAGGCGUCGUGUCCUGCUAGGCGUCGUGUCCUGCUAGGCGUC